rnacentral:rRNA from 1 species
CCUACGGGAGGCAGCAGUGAGGAAUAUUGGUCAAUGGACGAGAGUCUGAACCAGCCAAGUAGCGUGAAGGAUGACUGCCCUAUGGGUUGUAAACUUCUUUUAUAUGGGAAUAAAAUGUUCCACGUGUGGGAUUUUGUAUGUACCGUAUGAAUAAGGAUCGGCUAAAUCCGUGCCAGCAGCCGCGGUACUACGGAGGAUCCGAGCGUUAUCCGGAUUUAGUGGGUUUAAAGGGAGCGUAGGUGGAUUGUUAAGUCAGUUGUGAAAGUUUGCGGCUCAACCGUAAAAUUGCAGUUGAAACUGGCAGUCUUGAGUACAGUAGAGGUGGGCGGAAUUCGUGGUGUAGCGGUGAAAUGCUUAGAUAUCACGAAGAACUCCGAUUGCGAAGGCAGCUCACUGGACUGCAACUGACACUGAGGCUCGAAAGUGUGGGUAUCAAACAGGAUUAGAUACCCGAGUAGUC